AUGGAGAGCAGCCGACUUGGUGUGUGUGGGAUGGAGCGUGGGAGGAAAAAGAGAAGAGGGUGGGUUCUUUGUAACACACUUCCUGGUCCUUCCUGUUCAGGAAUUGAUGUGGAGACGGAAGCAGUGGACCGGAAGGGCCUGGACUUGCCGGGCCACCAGCUGGACCUCCUGCAGGAUGUUGUGGCCUGGGCGGCCGGCCGGCCCGUGAUUCUACUGCUGUUCAACGCAGGCCCCCUCGAUGUCAGUUGGGCCAAAGCUCACGACGGGGUGGGAGCCAUCUUGGCCUGUUUCUUUCCUGCUCAAGCCACCGGCCUGGCGAUUGCCAAGGUCUUGGUGGGAGAGGAAGGAGCCAACCCGGCCGGCCGGCUCCCUGCCACAUGGCCGGCAGGGAUGCACCAGGUCCCCCCAAUGGAGAACUACACCAUGGCGGGACGGACGUACCGCUACUAUGGAGACGAUCCUCCGCUGUACCCCUUUGGCUACGGGCUCUCCUACACCCUUUUCCGAUACAGCGACCUGGUGCUGGGAGCCGAGGUGGUGCCCGUUUGUGGGAACCUCAGCCUCUCGGUGGUGGUGGAGAACGUUGGCCCCCGAGACGGCGAGGAGGUGAGAGGGCUGGCCUGCUCCUGGACCUCGGUGGCUGAGGAAGGAUGAUGCUUUCUGUAUCAUAAACAUAAACAAGAUUUAAAUGAUGGGGGAUGGGUAGGCAAGGAGCACCACAGGGAGUAGUUUGGGUGUCCUUGGAUUGGAUUGAGAUGAGGUUCCCAUGGACGUGUCCUUCUGGCGUUUUCGAGACCACUCCCCCUCUCUGGGUGUGGGGAGAUCCGUGGGGCCUUCCAGGAAGGAAGGGUCUCGUUUUCUUCCUUGUUCCCUCUUUAAGAGCUCUUUUCCCCCUGCAGGUGGUGCAGCUCUACCUCCGGUGGGGAGAGGCCUCCGUGCCCGUGCCCCGCUGGCAGCUGGUCGGCUUCCGUCGGGUGAUGGUACCCCAAGGCCAGGCGACCAAGGUGCCCUUCCUGCUCUCCUUCCGCCAGAGAGCCGUCUGGGCCGGGGAGUGGCGCCUGGAGCCCGGCUCUUUCACCCUGUUUGCCGGCGGGCAGCAGCCCUUCCAGCAAACCCGUGCCCCUUCCAACGUCCUGCGAGCAGAUUUCAGCGUCCUCGGAAGCGCCCUCAAGAGAAGCCAGUGCUAAUGAAGAGGACUCCAGGAGAGCACAGCAAACUGCUGGGCCAAGGGAGAUCUUGAGAAUUAACUUCUGCCUUAAGCAAAACCUGAUCAGUAAACCCUGUGCACCAUUGGAAAGCUUGUGAAUUGUGCGAGAGUUUCAUCUUCCCCUGAACACUCAUCACCCUUGGUUUUGUCAACUGCAGUGGCUGGAACUGAUUGCGGUGGAAAUGUGAUAAGACAGGCAAAGAAGCUUCUAGGGAGAAAUAAAGAUUGUCCUCCUUUAAAAAAAAGGAACCA
rnacentral:lncRNA from 1 species